CCCACGCCUGUCUGCUAUGAGGAAUGGAAGACACCAGGAGGUAAUUGAUCAAAAUGUGAAACAGGAGCAAGAACUGCAAGGAAAAUUCCCUGCCACGUCUCAACAACCUCUGCCCUAACUCUUCAAUCGGUUUACAACGUCCUCUUCUUACUGCCGCCAGACAUGUCUUUCUCCUAAAGGGAGACCCCCCAACUGAUCCUGAACCUCUGGGCAUGUUUUCAAUCCUUGAUGUUUCAUCAGAAGCGCUUGAGCCUGAAUCUCUGUCUUUUCUGCAUUUGGCCCUAUCUCCUGUGGAGUCUAGAUGUGCUGAUCCUCUGUCAGGAAGCUGUCAUCUGUGGGGAUACAAAGUCUCUGAUCUUCUGCUCACAGGAAUCAGGAUUGUUAUGGAGUGAGAGAAAUGUUAUCAGUCUUUAGUGUGGCUGACUGUACAAGAUAAGAGGAGCAAGUAGGUGGCACCAAAGUGUCAGGAAAAUGCCAUCACACUGUAUUCUAAAGGACAGCUUCACACAAGGGAAGGAGCCCUAAUAUGAGAUGCAUAUUAAUGUUCUGCCACAAAAUGAUAUA